GUCCUAGCCCUAAACGGUGCACAUUUGCUGUAAGAGGAAUCGACCCCUUUUGUGGCGUAGCUAACGCGAUAAAUGUGCCGCCUGGGGAGUACGGUCGCAAGAUUAAAACUCAAAGAAAUUGACGGGGCCUGCACAAGCGGUGGAGUAUGUGGCUUAAUUCGAUGCAACGCGAAGAACCUUACCUGGCCUUGACAUGUACGUAGUAGAAGGGUGAAAGCCUGACGAGGUAGCAAUACCAGCGUACACAGGUGCUGCAUGGCUGUCGU
rnacentral:rRNA from 1 species